UAAUUGAAGAGUUUGAUCAUGGCUCAGAUUGAACGCUGGCGGCAGGCCUAACACAUGCAAGUCGAGCGGUAACAGGGGAAGCUUGCUUCUCGCUGACGAGCGGCGGACGGGUGAGUAAUGUAUGGGGAUCUGCCCGAUAGAGGGGGAUAACCACUGGAAACGGUGGCUAAUACCGCAUAAUCUCUUAGGAGCAAAGCAGGGGAACUUCGGUCCUUGCGCUAUCGGAUGAACCCAUAUGGGAUUAG
rnacentral:rRNA from 1 species